rnacentral:tRNA from 1 species
GUCGAUGUGGCGGAAUUGGUAUACGCGCACGUUUGAGGGGCGUGUGGAGCAAUCCUUGCGGGUUCAAGUCCCGCCAUCGACA